GACGAACGCUGGCGGCGUGCUUAACACAUGCAAGUCGAACGAUGAACCGGGUGCUUGCACUUGGGGAUCAGUGGCGAACGGGUGAGUAACACGUGAGUAACCUGCCCUGGACUCUGGGAUAACCCCGAGAAAUCGGAGCUAAUACCGGAUAGGACCUUUCCUCGCAUGAGGUUUGGUGGAAAGUUUUUCGGUCUGGGAUGGACUCGCGGCCUAUCAGCUUGUUGGUGAGGUAAUGGCUCACCAAGGCGUCGACGGGUAGCCGGCCUGAGAGGGUGACCGGCCACACUGGGACUGAGACACGGCCCAGACUCCUACGGGAGGCAGCAGUGGGGAAUAUUGCACAAUGGGCGCAAGCCUGAUGCAGCAACGCCGCGUGCGGGAUGACGGCCUUCGGGUUGUAAACCGCUUUUAGUAGGGAAGAAGGGCUUCGGCUUGACGGUACCUGCAGAAAAAGGACCGGCUAACUACGUGCCAGCAGCCGCGGUAAAAC
rnacentral:rRNA from 1 species